GAGCUAGUAGGUGUUAGGGGCAUGGAAAAGGCCGGAGGGAAACGGUGGGGGGUGAAGGAGUCGCGGCUCGGGAAGGUGAGGAUUGAGAAUUCAGAGCUGGCGUGGAACGAGAGGGAGCAGGCCGAGAAGAGGUCUCGCGGCGAGGGGAAGGCCCGCGGCGCGCUGAGAUCCAGGGGCGAGGACAGAUCCCGGAGCGAGGAGAGAUCCCCAGGCGAGGACAGGUCCCCAGGCGAGAACAGAUCCCCGGGCGAGGACAGAUCCCGAGGCGAGCACAGAUCCCGGGGCGAGGGCAGAUCCCGGGCCCAGGGGAAGGCCCGUGGCGAGAAAUCCCGUGGCGAGGAGAGAUGUCAGGGUGAGGGGAAGGCCGGUGGCGAGGAGAGAUCCCGGGGGAAGACCCGUCCUGAGGGGAGAUUCCGGGGCCAGAGAAAGGCCCGUGGCGAGAAAUCCCGUGGCGAGGAGAGAUCCCGGGACGAGAGUAAGGCGGGUGGCGAGCAAAGAACCCACGGCGAGGAGAAAUCCCAGGGUGAAGUAAGGGUCUCUAACGAGAAGGGGCGAGGCGAGGAGAAAGUAAGCUGGG
rnacentral:lncRNA from 1 species